GAACCCCUGACUGGUUUCAAAUGUGUCUGUGACUCCCAGCCUGGUCCAGAGUCCUUUUCUGAGGAGCAUGUUCCUGCUUUUGUUCUUUGGGAAUAAUGUCCACCUCCUGUAGCUGGUGGGGUGCUCUGAGGAAGGCAUUCCAUCUGCACAGAACAGGAUCAUACCUCUUUGGGAGAUAAAGAACACAACAGAAUUUUGAGCAAAGAAAACCUGGAAAUGCUUCUUGCUCAGCUAAACAGAAUGACGUGGUGGCCUUGGAAAAUGACACAUUGCAGGCUAGCACUGGGGAAAGUGCAAAUGAAGCAUCAGAAGGUGUUUGAAAUUGUGGGGAAAAUGAUGGAGAAACAGCUUCAAAAUGCUUACUUAUCUCCUUCAACUGUCCAUGCUGGAUAACAGGGAUAUACAUGUGCUGUAAAGAAAGGUGACAGUCCUGGACAAUAAACCGCGUGUUACCGAGUUCAGGGGCUUUCACCGGACGUGAUGGAAGGCCUGCAGAUGGCCCUGAAGAUGGGGCAGGGACAGUUCCCUCCUGCAGCAUGCUUUAUGCCUGAAGCACAAUUUCAGGGGUGUACCUGGCUGGAAGAACAACCUGUACUUGGCUGUGUUUCUGUGCUCGUGUUAUGAGGAGCCAUGCCAUGGAAAACAUGGAAUGCUCUAGGGGGCUGCACUGUGAGCCCUCUGCAGCCUCACCAUGACCAUCUCUGCAGCAAAGAGCCUUAACAGCAAAGGGAUUAUGGAAUUUUGGGAUCUGGUGAGCCUCUGUGUGUGCAAAACCCUGGUUAUGAUACGUAGUAUGUUGCCUUGCUUUAUGGAAGCGUCUAUUACACUCUCGAAUUUAUGAUACUCUACUGUGCAUGGUUAGUAAGUAGGUUUCUCCUGCUUAGGAAGCCUCCCUGAAGGAAGAAAAAACUGUAUUAAAAUGUGCCUCCAAACUCUGACAGGGUCAGCGUGGCACCAGGUGAAAAGGUUUCACAGAGAGGUAAUAUACUGCAAGUGCAAUAUUCUGACUUCUUACAGUGAAGGCUUCUGACUGAAAGGUUUUCCUUGUCAGGGAGGGUAUGUUUGUGUUCUGACCUAAAAGCUCUCUGGUGGUAGAGGGAGGUCUCAGAAUAUAAGGAGAACUUUAAAAAAAUCAUAUGAUACAGUGAUUGUUUUGCACAAGUUUUUGAACUCUUGACUCAAAGCACUCGGUAUGCAGAGAGCUGAAUGCCAGUUUGUGUAAAAGAGAGAUUCAACAAUGUAGGAGUAAGGAUUUACUAAAAGGAUUUGGAUAAGUAACUCCUAGCAUUCUACCUCAGUAGCUCCCAUCUCUGGCUUCUGUGCUGUGGUGUGAAAAGAUCUGCAUCCCCAGAUCAGCAUAUGGAUUUUUGUUCCAAUGCUUCAGUCUCUUAUGUUAAUGGCAAGGAGAUGGAGAUAAAAUAUGGUGCUGAGCUGAGAAGAGUGUAUUUAGUGCUCUAUAUGCCGCCUUAUGCAAUGGAUUCUUUUUCUACCAUGUAACCCUAUCCUGGGGGAGGUGAUUUGAUUGCAAGCAUGGUUGCAAUUAAGUCCAGAAAGUAUCCUGGACAAGGCUAAUCUUGUUAACACCAUACUACUGGAAGGUGGUAGUUAAUAUCAUGCUAAAAGCAAUGUCAGAACUAAGAUAUUUGAUAAACAGAGUUUGUAUAUUUAAUAUUAUUACUGCAUGAAAAAUCUCAAGUUGUACAUAUUUCUUAAAAAUGAAGGCUUGACAACAAUGUCCCUGGUUUUUUUUUCAUAGAAAUACAGAUGUACAGCAUAAACAAAUACACCAGGUUUGUAAUUCUGC